rnacentral:rRNA from 1 species
CUGCCUUAUAAUGCAGUUCGAGCGGACUUGAUGAGAAGCUUGCUUUCUCUGAUGGUUAGCGGCGGACGGGUGAGUAACACGUAGGCAACCUGCCCUCAAGUUUGGGACAACUACCGGAAACGGUAGCUAAUACCGAAUAAUUGUUUUCUUCGCCUGAAGGAAACUGGAAAGACGGAGCAAUCUGUCACUUGGGGAUGGGCCUGCGGCGCAUUAGCUAGUUGGUGAGGUAACGGCUCACCAAGGCGACGAUGCGUAGCCGACCUGAGAGGGUGAUCGGCCACACUGGGACUGAGACACGGCCCAGACUCCUACGGGAGGCAGCAGUAGGGAAUCUUCCGCAAUGGGCGAAAGCCUGACGGAGCAAUGCCGCGUGAGUGAUGAAGGUUUUCGGAUCGUAAAGCUCUGUUGCCAGGGAAGAACGCUUGGGAGAGUAACUGCUCUCAAGGUGACGGUACCUGAGAAGAAAGCCCCGGCUAACUACGUGCCAGCAGCCGCGGUAAUACGUAGGGGGCAAGCGUUGUCCGGAAUUAUUGGGCGUAAAGCGCGCGCAGGCGGUCAUUUAAGUCUGGUGUUUAAUCCCGGGGCUCAACCCCGGAUCGCACUGGAAACUGGGUGACUUG